rnacentral:rRNA from 1 species
AAAUUGAAGAGUUUGAUCAUGGCUCAGAUUGAACGCUGGCGGCAGGCCUAACACAUGCAAGUCGAACGGUAACAGGAAGCAGCUUGCUGCUUCGCUGACGAGUGGCGGACGGGUGAGUAAUGUCUGGGAAACUGCCUGAUGGAGGGGGGAUAACUACUGGAAACGGUAGCUAAUACCGCAUAACGUCGCAAGACCAAAGAGGGGGACCUUCGGGCCUCUUGCCAUCGGAUGUGCCCAGAUGGGAUUAGCUAGUAGGUGGGGUAACGGCUCACCUAGGCGACGAUCCCUAGCUGGUCUGAGAGGAUGACCAGCCACACUGGAACUGAGACACGGUCCAGACUCCUACGGGAGGCAGCAGUGGGGAAUAUUGCACAAUGGGCGCAAGCCUGAUGCAGCCAUGCCGCGUGUAUGAAGAAGGCCUUCGGGUUGUAAAGUACUUUCAGCGGGGAGGAAGGCGAUAAGGUUAAUAACCUUGUCGAUUGACGUUACCCGCAGAAGAAGCACCGGCUAACUCCGUGCCAGCAGCCGCGGUAAUACGGAGGGUGCAAGCGUUAAUCGGAAUUACUGGGCGUAAAGCGCACGCAGGCGGUCUGUCAAGUCGGAUGUGAAAUCCCCGGGCUCAACCUCGGGAACUGCAUUCGAAACUGGCAGGCUAGAGUCUUGUAGAGGGGGGUAGAAUUCCGGUGUAGCGGUGAAAUGCGUAGAGAUCUGGAGGAAUACCGGUGGCGAAGGCGGCCCCCCUGGACAAAGACUGACGCUCAGGUGCGAAAGCGUGGGGAGCAAACAGGAUUAGAUACCCUCGGUAGUCCACGCCGUAAACGAUGUCGACUUGGAGGUUGUGCCCUUGAGGCGUGGCUUCCGGAGCUAACGCGUUAAGUCGACCGCCCUGGGGAGUACGGCCGCAAGGUUAAAACUCAAAUGAAUUGACGGGGGCCCGCACAAGCGGUGGAGCAUGUGGUUUAAUUCGAUGCAACGCGAAGAACCUUACCUACUCUUGACAUCCAGAGAACUUAGCAGAGAUGCUUUGGUGCCUUCGGGAACUCUGAGACAGGUGCUGCAUGGCUGUCGUCAGCUCGUGUUGUGAAAUGUUGGGUUAAGUCCCGCAACGAGCGCAACCCUUAUCCUUUGUUGCCAGCGGUUAGGCCGGGAACUCAAAGGAGACUGCCAGUGAUAAACUGGAGGAAGGUGGGGAUGACGUCAAGUCAUCAUGGCCCUUACGAGUAGGGCUACACACGUGCUACAAUGGCGCAUACAAAGAGAAGCGACCUCGCGAGAGCAAGCGGACCUCAUAAAGUGCGUCGUAGUCCGGAUUGGAGUCUGCAACUCGACUCCAUGAAGUCGGAAUCGCUAGUAAUCGUGGAUCAGAAUGCCACGGUGAAUACGUUCCCGGGCCUUGUACACACCGCCCGUCACACCAUGGGAGUGGGUUGCAAAAGAAGUAGGUAGCUUAACCUUCGGGAGGGCGCUUACCACUUUGUGAUUCAUGACUGGGGUGAAGUCGUAACAAGGUAACCGUAGGGGAACCUGCGGUUGGAUCACCUCCUUA